rnacentral:rRNA from 1 species
CCUACGGGAGGCAGCAGUGGGGAAUAUUGGACAAUGGGCGAAAGCCUGAUCCAGCCAUGCCGCGUGUGUGAAGAAGGCCUUCGGGUUGUAAAGCACUUUCAGUGGGGAAGAAAGCCUUGGGGCUAAUACCCUCGAGGAAGGACAUCACCCACAGAAGAAGCACCGGCUAACUCCGUGCCAGCAGCCGCGGUAAUACGGAGGGUGCGAGCGUUAAUCGGAAUUACUGGGCGUAAAGCGCGCGUAGGCGGUCUGAUAAGCCGGUUGUGAAAGCCCCGGGCUCAACCUGGGAACGACAUCCGGAACUGUCAGGCUAGAGUGCAGGAGAGGAAGGUAGAAUUCCCGGUGUAGCGGUGAAAUGCGUAGAGAUCGGGAGGAAUACCAGUGGCGAAGGCGGCCUUCUGGACUGACACUGACGCUGAGGUGCAAAAGCGUGGGUAGCAAACAGGAUUAGAUACCCUUGUAGUC